UACCUCCACGAUGAAUUGGAAGAUCGGUAUGCGAGCAUUAUAAAUUUGAUUAUGAUGGUCCGACACCUUAUGAGCUUUGCAAUGUAAAAUCGAUGAUAUCGGAGCGAGAUCCAAAGCUAGGGAGCACCGGGUCAUCGAUGAACUUGGAGAUUAUAGUGAAUGAAAUAGAGGUGUUAGGAUUUGGCUUCAUGGCAGGUUGAGAUCUCACUAAGGAUGCUAAGAGUUGGAAAACGGGUGCUCUAAGGUAAUAAUUGUUUUUAAAGAAAAGUAGCGGAUACUCACUUCUUUCCCUUGUUGUGGAAUGGAAAUUGCCAACUAUCUUGUUUCGCUAGUCUUGUAAGAUUUGUUAAGGCAUGUUACUUUUAUCUCCAAUAAAGAGUAUAAACAUAAUGCCAAUAUUUUAAUGUGCUUUAUGAAAUAUUUAAAAUAGUCAUCUUUAAUACUACUAGUCUUCUCUGAAUUAUUUAUCUAACUUCGUUUGUUACACAUGACCCCAAAAAAAAUUGUUUCUGUUGCAAACAUUACUAGCUUAUAAUUAUAUUUGUAGGAUAUGAAUAAUAGAUUUAGAUAUAUUAUCUAAGUUGUUCUGAUUGCAUCUCUCUUGUUUAGUUUGGUAGUUUUCUUGUAUCUUGCAGCAAGUUACCGUUAAUUUCUCUUAAUUAUGAACCCCCAAGUUACAUCACUAGUCCUGGUUUGAACUUCUUCAUACUUAAUAACAUUUUUGCGGCACACUACCAAUUUUGUCUGCUAUGUAGAACCAACUCAUUUAAAACCAUAGAAGCGUCAUUAAGAGUUGACGCAUUAGCAAGUUUUGGGUUCAAAAUAUAUCCACAGUUUUGGCUUAUGAUGCAAAAAAUCUUAAAGCUCUUUAUCGAAGAGGUCAAGCUUCCAAGGAACUUGGUCUGCUAAAGGAUGCUGUUGAUGAUUGAGCAUAGCAUGUGAAGAUUGUCCAGUAGUGUCAAGUUCUUGUGACAGCCAUGAGGACUGGUGGUGAGAGCAGGUGAUGAAGUUGAAGUUUAAGCACCAAAAGAUAGCCAUAAGACUUAUAUGACACAAGUAUCAGCUAUUAAGUUUGUGGUUUUACUUGUAUUAGAUACUUUUAUGUUAUUUUAGUAUGAUUUGACUUUAUUAUUGUGACUUUUGAGUACUUGCAUAACACUUGUUAUUAGUGUAUAUUGAGAUUUGGAUUAUUGUGCUUUUAUUUAUAAAUUAUUCUUUGAGCAUGUAAUUAUAUAAUGAUAAUAAGUAUAGGGCAUUUUUUGUUGGA